rnacentral:precursor_RNA from 1 species
GGCACCCUCAUUCUUCUUUCUAGAUUCUGACUCAUGAUCACAAUCUGAAAGUACUGGGGGCCUC